rnacentral:rRNA from 1 species
ACGAACGCUAUCGGUAUGCUUAACACCUGCAAGUCGGACGGACUAAUUAGGGCUUGCUCCAAUUAGUUAGUGGCAGACGGGUGAGUAACACGUGGGAAUCUGCCCAUCAGUACGGAAUAACUUUUAGAAAUAAAAGCUAAUACCGUAUAUUCUCUACAGAGGAAAGAUUUAUCGCUGAUGGAUGAGCCCGCGUCAGAUUAGGUAGUUGGUGAGGUAACGGCUCACCAAGCCGACGAUCUGUAGCUGGUCUGAGAGGAUGAUCAGCCACACUGGGACUGAGACACGGCCCAGACUCCUACGGGAGGCAGCAGUGGGGAAUAUUGGACAAUGGGCGAAAGCCUGAUCCAGCAAUACCGAGUGAGUGAUAAAGGCCCUAGGGUUGUAAAGCUCUUUUAGCAAGGAAGAUAAUGACGGUACUUGCAGAAAAAGCCCCGGCUAACUCCGUG